CCGAAAUCCAGAUCUUUCUCUUGAAAUACUGCUGUGGAGUCACGAGAAUGACAUCACAAAAAGAUGAGGCUCCUUGGUGAUGUCCCCUCAAACCUCCUCCAGAAGACCACAGCUUUCUCCUAACCUACAGUACCUCACAGGAGGAGCACACACAGGCACUCACUAUGCAGCCUCGGCUAUUCCCAAACUCACAGUUCCUGGCCGGCCUCUGCUUCUCAAGAGCUGGGAUUGAAGACAUCCACCACCGCAACCCGCUCCUGACAGUUAUCAAUAUAUGAAAUUGCCGGUCGGCCACUAGAAAGUACUGUGGACCAUUUGCUGAAUGAUAACACUGUGUUAUUGGGUAUGAAAUGAUGGUAUUCCUAGUUAUUUAUUUAGAAUAUGUGUGUGUGU
rnacentral:lncRNA from 1 species